UACGAAGGGGGCUAGCGUUGCUCGGAAUUACUGGGCGUAAAGCGCACGUAGGCGGCUUUCUAAGUCGGGGGUGAAAUCCUGGAGCUCAACUCCAGAACUGCCUUCGAUACUGGAAAGCUCGAGUCCGGGAGAGGUGAGUGGAACUGCGAGUGUAGAGGUGAAAUUCGUAGAUAUUCGCAAGAACACCAGUGGCGAAGGCGGCUCACUGGCCCGGUACUGACGCUGAGGUGCGAAAGCGUGGGAAGCAAACAGG
rnacentral:rRNA from 1 species